UACCUUUCAGUGGGGGAUAACGUAGCGAAAGUUACGCUAAUACCGCAUAUUCUGUGAGCAGGAAAGCAGGGGAUCGCAAGACCUUGCGCUGAUGGAGCGGCCGAUGUCAGAUUAGCUAGUUGGUGGGGUAAAGGCUCACCAAGGCGACGAUCUGUAGCGGGUCUUAGAGGAUGAUCCGCCACACUGGAACUGAGACACGGUCCAGACUCCUACGGGAGGCAGCAGUGGGGAAUUUUGGACAAUGGGCGCAAGCCUGAUCCAGCCAUGCCGCGUGAGUGAAGAAGGCCUUCGGGUUGUAAAGCUCUUUCGGCCGGGAAAAAAUCGCUUGGGUUAAUACCCUGAGUGGAUGAUGGUACCGGAAUAAGAAGCACCGGCUAACUACGUGCCAGCAGCCGCUGUAAUACGUAGGGUGCGAGCGUUAAUCGGAAUUACUGGGCGUAAAGCGUGCGCAGGCGGUUUUGUAAGACAGGCGUGAAAUCCCCGGGCUCAACCUGGGAACUGCGUUUGUGACUGCAAGGCUAGAGUAUGGCAGAGGGGGGUGGAAUUCCACGUGUAGCAGUGAAAUGCCUAGAGAUGUGGAGGAACACCAAUGGCGAAGGCAGCCCCCUGGGCCAAUACUGACGCUCAUGCACGAAAGCGUGGGGAGCAAACAGGAUUAGAUACCCUGGUAGUCCACGCCCUAAACGAUGUCAACUAGGUGUUGGGUGGGUAAAACCAUUUGGUACCGUAGCUAACGCGUGAAGUUGACCGCCUGGGGAGUACGGCCGCAAGGUUAAAACUCAAAGGAAUUGACGGGGACCCGCACAAGCGGUGGAUGAUGUGGAUUAAUUCGAUGCAACGCGAAAAACCUUACCUACCCUUGACAUGCCAGGAACUUGCCAGAGACGGCUUGGUGCCCGAAAGGGAGCCUGGACACAGGUGCUGCAUGGCUGUCGUCAGCUCGUCUCGUGAGAUGUUGGGUUAAGUCCCGCAACGAGCGCAACCCUUGUCGUUAAUUGCCAUCAUUUAGUUGGGCACUUUAACGAGACUGCCGGUGACAAACCGGAGGAAGGUGGGGAUGACGUCAAGUCCUCAUGGCCCUUAUGGGUAGGGCUUCACACGUCAUACAAUGGUCGGUACAAAGGGUUGCCAAGCCGCGAGGCGGAGCCAAUCCCAGAAAGCCGAUCGUAGUCCGGAUCGCAGGCUGCAACUCGCCUGCGUGAAGUCGGAAUCGCUAGUAAUCGUGGAUCAGCAUGUCACGGUGAAUACGUUCCCGGGUCUUGUACACACCGCCCGUCACACCAUGGGAGCGGGUUCCGCCAGAAGUAGGUAGCCUAACCGCAAGGAGGGCGCUUACCA
rnacentral:rRNA from 1 species